rnacentral:lncRNA from 1 species
AACCUUAAGGGUCCCCCACCACCCCUGCUCUGAAGUAUCGUGAGGGAGGUAAAUCGCAGGUUAUGCCUCCAAGGGUACAGGGUGGAAGACUGCUUGUACACUUGCACUUACCCAAGAGCCAAAUCCAUAUUUCAGAAUUCGAACCCUUGACGCAGAAGUCUCAAGUAAAGUUGGAUUUCUCCAUCCUCUCUUUUUACCACUUGGAGAUGUGUCCUGGGGGCGGAUACUGUCCUUAACUCACUAGGCUCGUGACUUGCAUGAGCUUGUUUAUAUAUAUAAAAAAAGAGAAAAAAAAAAUCUUUUAUAAAAUUGAGUUUGGUGGACCGCCAAAUAUGACACGGCUCAAGUCAGUAUGAAUCUUUGGAUCUCACAUCUUUUUAUACGAUUAAAGCAGGUACGGCUCAUACAAAAAUAUGAGACAUAUCAAGUACAGUGGCAGAUGUAGCGACAGUAGCGUCCCCCAGCCCAAUUCAUCUUUUAAGAAAAAAUAAUUUUUUUUAUGUGUAAUUUUUUUCCGCAUAUUAGCCUGUCUUAAAAUUUUUUCUGAAUCUACUCCUAACCAAGUAUCUAGAUGUAAUGGUGAAUCGAGUAGAAUAAAGCGACUCUACCAGAAAAUGAUUUACACCCUAUAUGACAGAUACUCACAUGUGUGUGGGUCUUAAGCCAACCCUACAUGAAUAAAAAAUACAAAAAGCCGUGGUCCCCGCCUCUUCAUGUUUCUGGUCUGUCAAGAAGGGUGUAAAUACCCUUUUAUACGACCGGCAAGAUCGUAUCGAGUAUUGAUCAAGUGUUACGUGUUAUAAGACAAGGAUAAAAAAUCAUUGCAUAGUUCGAUUAAGGUAUCAAGUAUAUUAUAAUGAAAGGACGAAUUGCAAAGGCAUUGUCCAGUUAAUAUUGGACCACGCUAUAGGUCCAGGGCCCAUGUGACCGUGAACAAGAAUCUUUACCCGUCAAUAUUUAGCUAUCUUCAUCAAUUUAAAAUUGCAGAAAUAUUAACUAAUUCCUAAAGUCAUUGUCUUUUAAAUUUCGGUGAGUUACAUGAAUUAUACGUUAUCUUGAUGAUUACUUCUGCAGGGAAAUACCUCAAAUUGACCUAAAUAAAG